rnacentral:rRNA from 1 species
CAGUCGCCGCGGUAAUGCGUAGGGUGCGAGCGUUAAUCGGAAUUACUGGGCGUAAAGCGUGCGCAGGCGGUUCGUUAAGACAGAUGUGAAAUCCCCGGGCUUAACCUGGGGACUGCAUUUGUGACUGGCGAGCUAGAGUAUGGCAGAGGGGGGUAGAAUUCCACGUGUAGCAGUGAAAUGCGUAGAGAUGUGGAGGAAUACCGAUGGCGAAGGCAGCCCCCUGGGCCAAUACUGACGCUCAUGCACGAAAGCUAGGGGAGCAAAUGGGAUUAGAUACCCGGGUAGUCCCUGUCUCUUAUAC